rnacentral:rRNA from 1 species
GACGAACGCUGGCGGCGUGCUUAACACAUGCAAGUCGAACGGUAAGGCCCUUCGGGGUACACGAGUGGCGAACGGGUGAGUAACACGUGGGUGAUCUGCCCUGCACUUCGGGAUAAGCCUGGGAAACUGGGUCUAAUACCGGAUAGGACCACUGCCUGCAUGGGUGGUGGUGGAAAGCUUUUGCGGUGUGGGAUGGGCCCGCGGCCUAUCAGCUUGUUGGUGGGGUGAUGGCCUACCAAGGCGACGACGGGUAGCCGGCCUGAGAGGGUGACCGGCCAGACUGGGACUGAGAUGCGGCCCAGACUCCUACGGGGGGCAGCAGUGGGGAAUAUUGCACGAUGGGCGCAAGCCUGAUGCAGCGACGCCGCGUGAGGGAUGACGGCCUUCGGGUUGUAAACCUCUUUCAGCACCGACGAAGCGCAAGUGACGGUAGGUGCAGAAGAAGGACCGGCCAACUACGUGCCAGCCGCCGCCGUAA